CUUCCUUGUCACCUAGCAAUAGCAAGAAGGCUUUAAAGGCUGGAGAAGAUUUUGUUUUUUGCCUUUUGUAUUGAUCAGCAAUGCACUGGCCCUUUCCCUUCAGCCCGCAUCACCGGCCCAAGACACCUAACAGGAUGGACUACAUUUGUUUCAUCUGGUGAUGGACAUUUGGUUUGUUUCUGCUUUUGG